GAUAAACGCUGGCGGCGUGCUUCAUGCAUGCAAGUCGAACGCUUCGGCGCAAGCCGGAGAGUGGCAAACGGGUGAGUAACACGUAAGUAACCUGUCCUUAAGUGGGGGAUAAUUCACCGAAAGGUGGACUAAUACCGCGUGUUGUCAUUCUUCAUAAGAGGGAUGACCAAAGCCGCAAGGCGCUUUUGGAGGGGCUUGCGUCUGAUUAGCUAGGUGGUGGGGUAACGGCCUACCAAGGCGAAGAUCAGUAGCUGGUCUGAGAGGACGGUCAGCAACACUGGGACUGAGACACGGCCCAGACUCCUACGGGAGGCAGCAGCAAGGAAUAUUGUGCAAUGGGCGAAAGCCUGACACAGCGACGCCGCGUGAGGGAUGAAGGCUUUCGGGUUGUAAACCUCUUUUCUCAGGGAGGAAUAAUGACAGUACCUGGGGAAUAAGUCACGGCUAACUACGUGCCAGCCGCCGCCGUAACAC
rnacentral:rRNA from 1 species